rnacentral:rRNA from 1 species
AACGUGGGUAACCUGCCCAAGAGACUGGGAUAACGACCUGGAAACAGAAUGCUAAUACCGGAUAACAACACUAGACGCAUGUCUAGAGUUUAAAAGUAUGGUUCUGCUAUUCACUCUUGGAUGGACCUGCGGUGCAUUGGCUAGUUGGUAAGGUAACGGGCUUACCAAGGCAAUGAUGCAUAGCCGAGUUGAGAGACUGAUCGGCCACAUUGGGACUGAGACACGGCCCAAACUCCUACGGGAGGCAGCAG